GAUGAACGCUGGCGGCGUGCCUAAUACAUGCAAGUCGAGCGAACAGACGAGGAGCUUGCUCCUCUGACGUUAGCGGCGGACGGGUGAGUAACACGUGGAUAACCUACCUAUAAGACUGGGAUAACUUCGGGAAACCGGAGCUAAUACCGGAUAAUAUAUUGAACCGCAUGGUUCAAUAGUGAAAGACGGUUUUGCUGUCACUUAUAGAUUGAUCCGCGCCGCAUUAGCUAGUUGGUAAGGUAACGGCUUACCAAGGCAACGAUGCGUAGCCGACCUGAGAGGGUGAUCGGCCACACUGGAACUGAGACAGGGUCCAGACUCCUACGGGAGGCAGCAGUAGGGAAUCUUCCGCAAUGGGCGAAAGCUUGACGGAGCAACGCCGCGUGAGUGAUGAAGGUCUUCGGAUCGUAAAACUCUGUUAUUAGGGAAGAACAAAUGUGUAAGUAACUAUGCACGUCUUGACGGUACCUAAUCAGAAAGCCACGGCUAACUACGUG
rnacentral:rRNA from 1 species